rnacentral:misc_RNA from 1 species
AAGACUAUAGACCUGCGGAGUACCUGCGGAAGGAUCAUCAUUGAACAAAGCUUUUUCAAGCCUGGGGGGGGGGAGUUUACUCUGCUCUUCCGGCUUGUAAAAACAAACAACUUUGAUACCCAAAAAGAGUCUAUUCUCAUUCCUGCUGGGAAAGAGAGGGGGAAACCCCAGACAAAUACAAGUAGUUGCCUGAUAAAAAAGAGUUUGGAUUGGAAAGAAACAUGAAACAACUUUCAGCAA